rnacentral:rRNA from 1 species
AUUGAACGCUAGCGGGAUGCCUUACACAUGCAAGUCGAACGAGUGGCGGACGGGUGUGUAAUAUAUAGGAACGUGCCCAGUAGCGGGGGAUAACUACUCGAAACAGUGGCAACUACGGCAUACUAUUAAAACGGAGGUUAUCGGAUUAGCUAGUUGGUGGGGUAAAGGCUAACCAAGGCAACGAUCCGUAGCUGAUUUGAGAGGACGACCAGCCACACUGGGACUGAGACACGGCCCAGACUCCUACGUGAGGCAGCAGUGGGGAAUUUUGGACAAUGGGGGAAACCCUGAUCCAGCCAUCCCGCGUGUAUGAGAAGGCCUUCGGGUUGUAAAGUACUUUUGUCAGAGAAGCGGUAUCUGCAGAAUAAGCACCGGCUAACUACGUGCCAGCCGCCGCGGUAAUAC